rnacentral:rRNA from 1 species
CCUACGGGGUGCAGCAGUGAGGAAUAUUGGUCAAUGGACGCAAGUCUGAACCAGCCAUGCCGCGUGCAGGAAGACGGCUCUAUGAGUUGUAAACUGCUUUUGUACGAGGGUAAACGCAGAUACGCGUAUCUGUCUGAAAGUAUCGUACGAAUAAGGUUCGGCUAACUCCGUGCCAGCAGCCGCGGUAAUACGGAGGAUUCAAGCGUUAUCCGGAUUUAUUGGGUUUAAAGGGUGCGUAGGCGGUCGGAUAAGUUAGAGGUGAAAUCCCGAGGCUCAACUUCGGAAUUGCCUCUGAUACUGUUCGGCUAGAGAGUAGUUGCGGUAGGCGGAAUGUAUGGUGUAGCGGUGAAAUGCUUAGAGAUCAUACAGAACACCGAUUGCGAAGGCAGCUUACCAGGCUACUUCUGACGUUGAGGCACGAAAGCGUGGGGAGCGAACAGGAUUAGAUACCCGGGUAGUC